CGGCAUUUGGCGGGGCUUUUGUCUCUCGCUGCAGCCAGAGCUUGGGAUCGCUUUCUGCUAUUCAACGUCCUCCACCUCUGCCCCCCUCUCGCCCCAGCCGGUGACAGGCUGUUGCCCUGUGAUCUGCAGGUCCUGGGACGUGCACAGACAGCUAAGAUGCCAGGACAUUCCAGAAGGUGGGAAAGGCACCUGAGUAAUUUGACUCUCCUGCCUGGACCCAGCGUACAGAUGGGAUUGUGCUUCAUUGCUGGACCCAGCAUUUAGGCCCACUACCUAUGAGAUUGCAUGCUCCUGCCUGGGCUGUGCCCACAGUGACCUUGUGACAUAUAUCUGCAUCCAUGACCUAAAAGAUGUGACACUUCUUGCCUGCAACCUGCCCUGCACAGGAAAGAUUGCGACUUCUCCCUGGAAGCAGACACCAGGAGAGAACUGUAACAUAUCCCUGGAUGAGCACCCAGGUGAUGUGAUAUUCCUGCUUGGUUCUUUCCCUCAGGGAAGAUUGUGAGAUACCCUUGGCUGAAAUCCCAGGUCAUACAGAAUUGCCACCCUCCAACAUAUCAUAUAAUGCCCUCGAGUGUUACAAAGAGUGUUAUCCCAAGGCACACAGCACAAAGGGAUCGUCACUCCCGUGGAUGAUCAAAGGCGCCUGUAAUUUCAGCUACUCCGGGGGCUGAGGCAGGAGAAUCGCUUGAACUCGGGAAGCAGAAGUUGCAGUGAGCCAAGGUCGCACCACUGCACUCCAGCCCAGGCGACAUUGUGAGACUCCAUCUCAAAAAAAAAAAAAAGAAAAAAAGUGUACUAACAAGACCCAGCACACAGAGGAGACUUUUACCAUUGUAUGAACACCCAUCAAACAGUACACAUCAUCAUUGUGAGUUCUGAAUCUCACACAUAGAGGAAGUCAAAGGUGGAAAACUUGACUCUCAUAUUUGGAUCCAGUCCACAGGUUCUGCUAGCAAGGAAGACUGAGACAUAUUGUGGGGCUCUACGCCAAUGUGACAUUACUGUUCUGCCUUGGCCUGUACCUGAAAAGGCAUUGUGACAUAUUGCUGGGCCCAGCAACAAGGUGGCAUGAGUCUUCCGUAUGGACCCUGACAACAGAGCAUUGUGACAUAUCUUUAAGAGCAUCAACUAUUUGAUGUGACUCUCCUUUUCUACCAAGGCUUUCCUCAUAUGAGAGAUUGUGACACAUCUUCUGGCACAGAAAUCAAGUGAUGUGUUUCUCCUGCCUGAGCUUUGCUCAUAGAAAGCAUUGUGACAUAUCUCUGGUCUCAGCACCCAGGUGUGAUUUUGACGCACACUUCUGCCCAGCACCUGAGUAAUGUGAUUCUUCAGAAUUGGCCCGGCCCACAAAUAGGAUUGUGCCACACUGCUGGACCCAGUGCCUAAGUGAUGUAACUCUAUUCUUCUGCCUUGGUGCUACUCGAAAAAGACAUUGUAACAUAUCUCAGAGCCUUACACCCAGGUAAUGUGAGUCUCCUCUUCUGCCUUGCUGCUGCACACAGAAGCGGAAUAUGUACAGGAUUGUUAAUCUCAUCUUGGAUCUUCCUGCACUUGUGAUUGUGACACAUGCCUCUGUGUAGAACCUGAGUGAGUUUACUCUCCUGCCUGGAUUUAACCCAUAGAUGGAAUCGUGACAUAUCACUGUACCAGAAACUAGGUGAUGUGACUCUAUUUUCUUGCCUCUGUGUUUUUAUAUGGGGCAUCGUGACAUAUCACUGGGCCUUGCACCCAAGUGAUGGGAGUUUUCUCUCCUGCUUUGGUGCCGUCCACAAUGAAAAUUGUGAAAUAUUGCUGCCCUCCCCACUAGGUUAUGUUACUCUCCUGCCUCUGCUUUGCCCACAUGGGUCACUGUGACAUAUUGCUGGGUCUAAAACCCAGGUAAUGUCACUCUCUUGUUUGGGUUCUGCCUGCAGGAGUCAUUGUCACAUAUCUCUAUGCUCAUCACCCAGGUAAUAUGAUUCCCUUUUACUGCUUAGUUCCUUCUCACAAAACAACUUGUGACAUAUUGCUAGGCCCAAUACACCUAGCUGGUGUAACUCUUCUUUUCUUUUCUUUCCUUUUUUUUUUUUUUUUUUUGAGAUGGAGUCUCACUCUGUUGCCCAGGCUGGAGUGCAGCGGCAUGAUUUCAGCUCACUACAGCCUCUGCCUCCUAGGUUGAAGCGAUUGUCCUGACUUGGCCUCCCAAGUAGCUGGGAUUAAAGGCAUGUGCCACCACGCCCGGCUAAUUUUUGUAUUUAUAGUAGAGACAGGGUUUCGCCAUGUUGGCUAGGCUGGUUUCGAACUUCUAACCUCAGGUGAUCCUCCUGCCUCGGCCUCCCAAAGUACUGGAAUUACAGGCAUGAGCCACUGCACCUGGCCUGAUUCUUCUCUUCUUUCUAGGUUUCAACUGCAGCAGAGAUUGUAACAAACCACUGGGCCCAGCCGCAUAAUGAUGUUACUCUUUUGCCUUGGGCCUGCCCUCAGAAGGCACUGUCACAUAUUCAUGGGCCCAACGCCAAGGUGAUAUGUGUCUCCAGCCUGGACCCUGCCCACAGGGGGCAUUGUGACAUAUCUCUUGGCCCAUCAGAUGUUUGAUUGUUAUCCCCUCCCCUCUUCUACCCUGUGUUUGCCUAUAAAAGACACAGUCAUAUGUUCCUGGGCCCAGCACCUAGGUGUUGUCUUACUGGAAUGUGUCCACAUGGGGAUUGUGAUAUGUCACGUGGCCCAGUACUUAACUUGAUGUGACUCUCCUCUCAUGCCUAGGCCUUGUAGAGAAUCCCCUUCCCCUUUUGUUUUCCUUUUUUUCUUUGCAGAUCCAGGAGAUAAUCAACUAAGAGCCAGGCACCCGUUUAGGUCUAAUAAACAUUUUACAAACUGCUCUCUCUUUUAAUUCACCUAUCUGAGAGAUUCCUCUGUACAAUAAAACUUGGUCUCCACAAUCCUUUACCUUAACCUAAACCUUCCCUUUCAUUGAUCCCAGGUCUUCAGAUUCCACCACUUGUCAACCACAAAAUAUUUAAAUUUACCUGGAAGCCGCCCGCUUUGAGUUGUCCCGCCUUUCUGAACCAAACCAAUAUAUUCCUGCAAAACCGGCCAUGAUUAAAACAUCAAAAAAUAAUACAUGUUGGCGUGGCUGUGGUGAAAAAAGAAUACUUUUUCACUGCUGGUGGGUAUGUAAACUAGUACAACCACUAUGAAAAACAGUAUGGAGAUUCAUUAAAUAAAAGUAAAGCUACCAUUUGAUUAAGCAAUUCUACUACUGUGUAUCUACAUGAAGAAAAAGAAAUUAUAUGUGUAAGACACUUGCACACACAUGUUUAUAGCAGCACAAUUUGCAAUUGCAAAAAUAUGGAAGCAGCCUAAUGCCCAUCAGCUAAUGAGUGGAAAAAGAAAAUGUGGCAUAUAUAUACCAAUGCAUACUACUCAGCCCUAACGAGGAAUAAAAUAAUAGCAUUUGCAGCAAUCUCGAUUUAGUUGGAGACCAUUAUUCUAAGUAACUCAGCAAUAAAAAA
rnacentral:lncRNA from 1 species